rnacentral:lncRNA from 1 species
AAACCUCUUUUCCACUUCCCCCUCCAAUUCUACCCUCGUUGAUAAAAGGGAGAGUUGAAAUUUUAUCAUAUCAGCUCUAUAUGUAACCUUUAAAGUCAUCACACCAUCACGAGAUACUCCUGUUGCAGGAGAUCUUUUGUUACCCAAAUAUUUGAUGCCUUUUUCUUGGGAAAGAGCAGGACAUUGUUGAUCGCCCACAUAUGGUUCAGCACCUUGAAAAGAUACGCCAUGGCUAACAUGGACAUUAACCUUUCUAGUCUUAUGAUUUGGCCAUCUAGUGAUUUCAUAUACUCUAC